rnacentral:rRNA from 1 species
UACGUAGGGUGCAAGCGUUGUUCGGAAUUAUUGGGCGUAAAGAGCUCGUAGGCGGUCUGUCGCGUCGGGUGUGAAAUCCCGAGGCUCAACCUCGGGUCUGCAGUCGAUACGGGCAAACUAGAGUAUUGCAGGGGAGACUGGAAUUCCUGGUGUAGCGGUGAAAUGCGCAGAUAUCAGGAGGAACACCGGUGGCGAAGGCGGGUCUCUGGGCAAUAACUGACGCUGAGGAGCGAAAGCGUGGGGAGCGAACAGG